GCAUCGAUGAAGAACGUAGCGAACUGCGAUACUUGGUGUGAAUUGCAGAAUCCCGUGAACCAUCGAGUCUUUGAACGCAAGUUGCGCCCAAAGCCAUUAGGCCGAGGGCACGUCUGCCUGGGCGUCACG
rnacentral:rRNA from 3 species